rnacentral:rRNA from 1 species
CUACGUAGGUGGCGAGCGUUGUCCGGAAUUAUUGGGCGUAAAGGGCACGCAGGCGGCUGUUUAAGUCCGGUGUGAAAGGUUGCGGCUUAACCGCAAACGGGCACCGGAAACUGAAGAGCUUGAGGGCAGAAGAGGGGAGCAGAAUUCCACGUGUAGCGGUGAAAUGCGUAGAGAUGUGGAAGAAUACCGGUGGCGAAAGCGGCUCUCUGGUCUGCACCUGACGCUGAGGUGCGAAAGCGUGGGGAGCGAACAGGAUUAGAUACCCUGGUAGUCCACGCCGUAAACGAUGAAUGCUAGGUGUUAGGGGGGUCCAACCCCUUAGUGCUGAAGGCAACCCAUUAAGCAUUCCGCCUGGGGAAUACGACCGCAAGGUUGAA